rnacentral:rRNA from 1 species
GCUUAGCCCUAAACCUAAAUAAUUUAAUAACAAAAAUAUUUGCCAGAGAACUACUAGCCAUCGCUUAAAACUCAAAGGACUUGGCGGUACUUUAUAUCCACCUAGAGGAGCCUGUUCUAUAAUCGAUAAACCCCGCUAUACCUCACCAUCUCUUGCUAAUACAGCCUAUAUACCGCCAUCUUCAGCAAACCCUAAAAAGGUACUAAAGUAAGCACAAGAAUAAACAUAAAAACGUUAGGUCAAGGUGUAGCCAAUGAGAUGGGAAGAAAUGGGCUACAUUUUCUUUCAAAAGAACAUUACGAAACCCUUUAUGAAACUAAAGGAUAAAGGCGGAUUUAGUAGUAAAUUAAGAAUAGAGAGCUUAAUUG